rnacentral:SRP_RNA from 1 species
GCCGGGUGUGGUGGUGGGCGCCUGUAGUCCCAGCCACUCAGGAGGCUGAGGCAGGAGAACGGCGUGAACCCGGGAGGCGGAGCUUGCAGUGAGCCGAGAUUGUGCCACUGCACUCCAGCCUGAGGUGACAGAGUGAGACUCUGUCUCAAAAAAAAUAAUAAUAAUAACUUCUUUUUAUUUAUUUACUUGUUUUUUUGGAGGCAGAGUCACUCUGUUGCCCAGGCUGGAGUGCAGUGACACAAUCUUGGCUCACUGCAGCCUCUGUCUCCCGGGUUCAAGCAAUUCUCAUGCCUCAG